rnacentral:lncRNA from 1 species
GUUGACCUGUUUGGACUCGUGAUGCUGAUACUGAUUGUAGUAUUAGUAAUAGCGUUCUUCUGGUAUUGCCUCGCCUACUACUUCUACAUGCAAGAGCGGAUGGCCUUUUAUUAUGCACGAAAUGGACAAGUUCCCGAUUACAACUGGAAUGCUACCGGGUAUUACUGAUAAAUAGCUGACAAGGCAGAUCUUCCACAGGGCGAAGGUGAAUGUUCUUCCAUGAUGUGUCAAUGAUGGAUGCGUAUGUAUUCAUGGUUCUUACAUUUUCCUGGUGAAUUAACUCUUUUGUCACUAGAUAGUUACCAUAAAAGGACACUAAUAAAGAUAACAUCGAUUAUCAUGAAA